rnacentral:lncRNA from 1 species
AUUAACUUUAAAAUAUUUUAUUUCUAAAAUGUUGGAUAUCUGUUUAUAAGUGAAUAAGUAAUCACCAUGGAUAUAUAAAUAUUAUUAUUGUUAAUUUUAAAUUUAAAAAAUAAAAACUCAGAAAUAUUCCCAAUUUUUGGGGGGUUAGAACUCUUUAUCUGAAGUUGGGCUGAGUUAAAAAUGAUGAUAAAACUAAACAGAAAAACUUGUAGAAAUAUUUUAGCAAAACAAAUAUCAUCAGUAAUGUGCAUAUUGCAUUUUGAUAUGCUAUUUUUUGAAAAUGAGCAGAGAAUACUUCAAACAGAUGCCAAUUCCAGAAACCAGAUGUCUUGUUUAUUAAGUUGAAAUUGACCAUACUGUGAAAAACACAAAAAGUGGAAACAAAAUAUCUUAUUAAAAAUAUAAAUUAAUUUUUUUUCUCCAAUUAAAAUUUUAUACUGCUGAUUUUAAUUGUAUAUGCAUUUUUUUUUUUUUUUCCCCCUUCUUUGAGACGAAAAUAAGAUAUAAUACCUGUAGAUGUACUUUCUCUGCAUGACUCAUUGUAAGACAGGAAAGUGAAAGUUACAUUUGGUAAAUUAUACGAUGUCGGUAUGUUAUUUCAUAUUUGAUUUUAUGCUUAAAAAUAAGAUGGAAGAAUAUUUUUAUCUUGGAUGAUAAAGCUAAUCUAACAAUUCAUUCAAUCCGAAGAGGGAAUUAUUUUAAUGAAGGGGGACGUUUUUCAUAAUUUUCGUUAUCUUUGCUGUUGUAAUUUAAUCGCAUGAAGUAGUUUGCUUCAUUGAACGACAUACGAAGACAGAUAAGAAUUCUGUCUGCUUAUGAUCGUUACAUCCUUGCAAUUAUCGUUCUUUCAUACCAUAAGUCAAAAUCGGAUUCCUUUCAUUUAGUUUAGAUUGUUCACUUAUAUUUUAGAUGCAAUUACAUACAUUAAAAAUAUAUUUGAUACCUUUACAAUUGCUAUUGUAUAUGAAGAAAAUUUGUCAUCGAAAAUAUUAUUUAAAUGAAGACAAAAAUUAUAGCCUUAAAGUCGAAUUUAAUUUUUAUAUCUUUGCCGUAAAGUGCGUAUGUAAAAAAACAUUUAAUGCACAAUCUUUCCAAUUACAAUUAAGAUAUAUGCUAUUUUACAUUAAUAAAAAUUGUUUUCUCAAACUAAUGACAGCCGAUUCAGUUUUUUUAAAUGCAUUUUUUCAUAAGAAUGAUAUACUAUUUCGGAUAGACCAGACUUAAAUAGCAAUCAAAACAGAAUGGCAACUUUGUUAUCAGUUUAGAGAACCCAAAAUGGCAAUAUCCUUAUCUCACUUUUCUCACGUAGUUGUCGUCAUUCAGGUUCUACUUGGUGACAUUCUUUCUACCGAAUAUAACAUUAUCCGUAUUCCGGUAGCAGUAAUCUGUAGAUCGUUAUCCGAAAACCAGACUGACGGCCCUCCCUGUAUAACCUGUUUCGGGAUGGCGUUUUCGGUAUUAUUUUCUCGUUUAAUCUGUAUAAUGGGCAACGAACGUUUAGUAAAUAUUCUACAUCGAUUUAUACAAAUAAAUUGUUUUUAAUUAAUAAUUUCUUUUCCGCUUAUUAAUAAAAAAUGUUUUUUCAUCAUUUUUUUUUUUAUAUCUGAUAUUGACAAACUUAUCUGUUGUUACUUUGUUUCACUUUGGCAUAAAUAAUCGUGAU